rnacentral:rRNA from 1 species
GAGACCUCAGGUCAGGCGGGACUACCCGCUGAGUUU